rfam:Rattus norvegicus chromosome 15, whole genome shotgun sequence.
ACACCGGUCUUCUUAGAGACCAUCUAUCUACACAGUGGAUAUAUU